CGCGAAUCCUGGUGCUGCGACUGCCGCGAAGACCCCUAACAGCCCGAGCUUCUGUGGGUUUCCUCAAGAGCUUUCCGCCAUUGGCCAGUCUUUGAAAGCGCUGUAGGAACGAUAAGGAACCCGAGGCUUAGAAAAAUAACCUGACAAAUAUAAGAAAUCGCUAGAUGAUAUGUUCCACCGAAUGAAGACAUAAGCCAAGAAAGAACACAGUGGAUCCAGGGAAGAGGGGAUCCAACACCAGAGUAAGGCAAAGAGCCUCUCCAGGAUGAUGGUA